rnacentral:rRNA from 1 species
UACGGAGGGUGCAAGCGUUAUCCGGAUUCACUGGGUUUAAAGGGUGCGUAGGAGGGCAGGGAAGUCCGUGGUGAAAUCCUAGAGCUUAACUCUAGAACUGCCGUGGAUACUCCCUGUCUUGAAUCCCGUGGAGAUGAGCGGAAUAUGUCAUGUAGCGGUGAAAUGCUUAGAUAUGACAUAGAACACCAAUUGCGAAGGCAGCUCGUUACACGAAGAUUGACUCUGAGGCACGAAAGCGUGGGGAUCAAACAGGG